rnacentral:lncRNA from 1 species
CAUACAGUGAAACACUUCCAGUUCUGUCUCCUUUAUCUGAUGCUUUCAUGCUCUGGAUCUUAAAACCUGGCCAGUCAUUUCCCCAGUGAUGGAUGCUGAGUGUCAGCAACAGCUCUAGAGAGAUCUGAGACCUCAGCCAGAAGCAGGGGAAGCUAAAAAGUGCAAAUCAACUCAACUGGCCUCCCAUGGAAGACAUGGAAGAAGAAACAAGAACAAAAGGCUAUGAGGAAACAUUGGAAGUCAGAGCCUUUGAAUAAUACUUAAUGUGAUAGUGAAAUAUGUUUAAAUGUCAGAUGACACAUAGAAUGUCAAAGCUGGAAGUUUCCCUAGAAGUCACUUACUGACCAACUAUCCCCAUGUGGAGGUGAGGAAAUGGGGGCUCAUGAAGGGUGAAGUUGUUUGCCUCAGGUGGUAUAACCAGGACCCUCACAAAUUAAAGGCGUGUAUUCAUGCAGAGGGCCU